rnacentral:rRNA from 1 species
GAUGAACGCUGACAGAAUGCUUAACACAUGCAAGUCAACUGUGGCGGACGGGUGAGUAACGCGUAAAGAACUUGCCUCACAGCUAGGGACAACAUUUGGAAACGAAUGCUAAUACCUGAUACUGUGAGAGGGCUUUGCGUCCCAUUAGCUAGUUGGAGAGGUAACGGCUCACCAAGGCGAGGAUGGGUAGCCGGCCUGAGAGGGUGAUCGGCCACAAGGGGACAGAGACACGGCCCUUACUCCUGCGGGAGGCAGGAGUGGGGAAUAAUGGACAAUGGACCAAAGUCUGAUCCAGCAAUUCUGUGUGCACGAUGAAGAUUUCGGAAUGUAAAGUGCUUAGAGUUGAGAAGCGGGACCAACAGAAGAAGUGACGGCUAAAUACGUGCCAGCAGCCGCGGUAAUAC